rnacentral:rRNA from 1 species
AGUCAUAUGCUUGUCUCAAAGAUUAAGCCAUGCAUGUCUCAGUACAAGCCGAAUUAAGGUGAAACCGCGAAAGGCUCAUUAAAUCAGUUAUGGUUCCUUAGAUCGUACCCACAUUUACUUGGAUAACUGUGGUAAUUCUAGAGCUAAUACAUGCAAACAGAGCUCCGACCGGAGACGGAAGGAGCGCUUUUAUUAGAUCAAAACCAAUCGGCGUCGGGUUCGCUCGUCGUCGUACAACUUGGUGAGUCUGAAUAACUUUUUGCUGAUCGCAUGGUCUCGCACCGGCGACGCAUCUUUCAAAUGUCUGCCUUAUCAACUGUCGAUGGUAGGUUCUGCGCCUACCAUGGUUGUAACGGGUAACGGGGAAUCAGGGUUCGAUUCCGGAGAGGGAGCCUGAGAAACGGCUACCACAUCCAAGGAAGGCAGCAGGCGCGCAAAUUACCCACUCCCGGCACGGGGAGGUAGUGACGAAAAAUAACGAUACGGGACUCAUCCGAGGCCCCGUAAUCGGAAUGAGUACACUCUAAACCCUUUAACGAGGAUCAAUUGGAGGGCAAGUCUGGUGCCAGCAGCCGCGGUAAUUCCAGCUCCAAUAGCGUAU